CGGCUUGUCACCGCCGUUCCAUGAGACCGCCAGCGCCCGCGGGAGUCCCCGAGCACAUCCGAUUACGCAGUUGUCUCCGGCCGUGCACCACCUCGCCGUUGCUGAUCAGAACGCUCGAUCACACCACCGUCGCCGAGCACUUUCUGCCUCCCCCGAGCGUCCCAUUUCCCGGCGACUGCCGGCACCCAUGCUCACAUCCUCUUAUCUAUAGUACCAUCUGUCUAUCUUGGUUUGAACUUACUGAUGACACUAAGAUGUGCCUGAUGGCCUGCUCAACAUCUUAAUCUAGCCCUUGCUCUUGCACUGGAGCUUGACAGAUUAGCUGGGAUAUAUAGAAGGUGAUGUGGUGUGCCAUAUUAAUCCUAUUGAUUGUGCACUGGUGCAGAAAAUCUGCAUUUAGUUGGUUACACAAUGUUCUCAUAUAUAUAUGCCUAUGAUGUCGAACAAAUGAAGUAGGGUUAUGAUGAUGAUAUAGCGUUAAUUUCUUUGCACAAAAUAUACAUCGAUGACUUCCUAUUGAUGUUUCUCAAACAGAAGCAUCCUGUAUUGGACAAGUUGUGUAAGUGCACGAUUUGCAGUGAAAGUUUUAUGACAGUGAAGAUUCACUGGUGUAACCUAGGAAUAAAAGAGAUGGCAACUUAUGCCUGUCAAUUGACAAAGUAGUACGGAAUGUGCAUCUGCAUAUACAACCAAUGCAGGCCUCAGAACAAAGACCCAUUCUCCCAGAAAUGGUAUUGGUCCGCAGGAACAGGUGAACGAUUGAAGCCUCCCCCUCCACACAUAUAAAGACUCCUUUUGCUGUCGGUGUUGAUGAACUGCAAGAAUGUGCAAAGAUUGCUUUUCAGGCUUGAUGCGGAGGACCCUGCAGCUUCUUUUUU